rnacentral:rRNA from 1 species
UAUGUAGGGGGCGAGCGUUGUCCGGAUUUAUUGGGCGUAAAAGGCUUGUAGGUGGCCACGUCAAGUCGGAUGUGAAAUCCCUCGGCUUAACCGGGGAACUGCGUCUGAUACUGGAUGGCUUGAGGUUGGGAGAGGGAUGCGGAAUUCCAGGUGUAGCGGUGAAAUGCGUAGAUAUCAGGAAGAACACCCGUGGCGAAGGCGGCUUUCUGGGACGGUACUGACGCUGAGACGCGAAAGCGUGGGGAGCGAACAGG